rnacentral:lncRNA from 1 species
GAGAUGAGAAAGUCCAUGGCUUUUGUUAGACAAUUUUUAUAUGACUUCUUUAUCUAAUGACUGUAGGGAGCUGUAUUGGAUUUGGGCCUGGCCGUUUUGUGACUGUAUAGCUCAGAAUGCCUACGUGACUCUUGGCUGCAUGGCCACAGAUGUUCAGCCCUAAAAUGACUGCCAUAAAGUCAUGAGAUUGUUGAUCAAAAGCCUUUCCCAUGAAUUUACACACAAGAAGAAAACAACCACUGAAUGCUUCAGCAAAUACCAGAUGUCUCCUGAGCAAACACCUGGUGUCUCCACUGCAUGACCUCUUCACCUCCUGCUAUCAGAGUACCCUCACAAAGGGUACCUCCUUUGUGUUUCACAAAGGGCACUCCCCCUAUCUGAAUGCCUUAUAAGCCGUAACACUCACCCCAAUAAACGAGACCUUGACAACAGAACCUAGCUUGGUCUCCUUCUUUUCUCUCCCACCCUUGACACUCAGGUAGAGCCUCUUUGGGACCCUGAAUAACUGGGCCUGCUGGAUGGGUCAAAUGACAAUUUUAGUCAUUAAAAAAAGAGCUGACUUCAGAGACUUUCUCCAUGUAGAUCACUAAUUAAACAAUACAUUUGUGUCUUUACUCAUAAGAUUUCCUAUUUUAGGCUGAGCAUACAUGUUAUUCAUAUAUCUGAAUUUAUAUUCAUAUAUACACCUGCUUAUGUAUUAUUUAUGACAUAUACAUAUGUUUACAUGACACAUAUAUGAGUACCACCAUUGUAUUGAAAAGCCUAAUACUAGUUGAGAAAUCAUUAACUUUGUCAGGAAAAUAGCUGAAUGUUCUUACUUUGAUACAUGGAUGGAAAUUCAAUAGGUUGUAGUUGUGAUUACAUAGAGUUGGUGAGCCCUGGCUUUCAUUCAUCAUUUCAAAAACAAUGGCUAUCUAAUCAUGGAUUUUUAAAUCAGUGAAAUGACAGAAGUGCAGAGAUGGUGUUUAUUUUGACUCGUAGAUUGUGCUUAAUAUGAUGUUUUAUAUCUGUGUAUCAAUAGGUCCUAAAAAUAUGCCACUUUAUAGAAAUUAAUUUUAUUUAAAGCAAAUAACCACUGUGAACAAAACUGAAGUUUUCAAGUAUACUUGAAAACAGGUAUUUAGUAGUCUUAAAGAAAUGUACUUUUAAGAAUAAGCUUGUAGAAAAUGAAACAUUUUCAGUUAAUAACAAAUAAAACCUGAAUUGUUAAUCAUA